CUUAUCCUUUUUUUAAAAAAACAAGAAAAGAAAAAAAAAUAACUAGAAAUUAAGUGCUAAAAUGGAGAGCAAAAAUUUCUAAUCUUGCUGGCUUAUACCACCUAGAUAGAGUAGAUAAAUUCGAUGAUCAAGAUAUUAUUUGUUGAUACAAUUUGUUUGAAAAAAAAUAUGGAUUAAUGAUGUCAUGUAUGGUCUAUAGCUUAUAUAGAAUUUAUAUCUUUUUCUAUAAAAAUAGAAUGUGAACAUAUAAAAGUAUUAUAGUGCAAGAGACAUAAAUCUAUCCGAACCGGAUCUAAAUUUUUUGGAUUGGAACUGAGUUAUACAUAGAUCCGACCCGAUGACCCAUUGGGUCAAAAAUUGUAGUCAUGAAUCUAACCUGAUCUGAUUUUCUGUUAGAUUGGAUCUGGAUUC
rnacentral:lncRNA from 1 species